rnacentral:lncRNA from 1 species
AAAUUUAGUUUUAUGAGUGUUUAUACUAAUAACUCAGACAAAAGCCUAGAUGUCAUUUUUCAUUCAUUUUAUAUCUCACAUCAUAUACUUUCACUACAAGGUCAUUGCUGUUUAAAAGAUAUAAUUAAGUAUAUAAGAUAAUACAUAUUAUGGUGAGAACACAAAGCCAUAUGAAAGUGCAUUACACUAGAUUUUUCAGCAUACAUAGGGAUAUAGACUAGUAGGCUUUGAUUACAUCUAAAUAUUUUAACCUCAGGUUCCUCCUUUGCCCUGGCCUUUACUUUCUAGGGGAGUAAUACAACGAUGUCUGCCAGAUCGUAAUCUAGCUAGAAGCCUAAUCUCUGUUGCCACCCUCUCUGAUUCUAUGGCUUUGUCACUGAGCACCACCUCCUCACUCCCAACUCAUUUUAACAGAGUUAUAGUAGCUUGUGACACAGAGACUUAAAGCUUGUAUAGUCAGUGAGUUAGUGGAUAAACCAUAUUGGGGGCAGGCAGGAAACAGCUAGAUCAAAUGUACUGCAUAUGACUGUUAUCAAGAUAUUGUUUGGUGUGAUGGCAAAAUAAACGAGAACAUCUUUGACAGGAUAAUUCCAUUUCUAACCUGCCUUAAUAUUUAAAUAUCAGAUUUCCUCCAUUUGAAGGUCUUUCAUGAACAAAGUAGAAAGGCUGUUUGAGAAGGAAGGAGACAGACAUUAAGAAGACAAGACUGAAAGAAUUAUUAGCUACUGGACCUGAAAACAUUUGUUCAAACUUAGAUCACAAACACGAAGAAAUAAGAACAGUGACCAAACUAUAAGGGAAAGAAAAGCGGGGGAAAGAGGGACCAAGAAACAACACUCCCAUCAGGCUCUAAAAACAAGCUUCC